AUAACUAAAACAUUUACUACUAGUUUUCUAACCUGCUAAGUCAUUGACCUAUAGUAUUUUUAACCUACUGAAUUUUCAACCUAAGUAAUAUUUAACCUAGCUUAUUUUCAAUUUCAUAACUAUUUCUAGUAUGUAUUUUGUAUACUUUGUUGUUUAUUUGAAUACAAGCCAAAUUUGAUCAGCCUUGGUGCAGUGGUUGAAACACUGUCUUCAGAAUCAGAAGUCAUUGUACCACAAUGUGAAACCAAGAAACCAGUUCCACUUGUCAAGCGCAUAUGUGUUAAUUAUACUUUAUCGCCACAAAAACUGUGUUAUCUACUUGCCUACUUACCAUACCUUUUUGAAAUAACAUUCAUGAUAAACUAUCAGUUAGAAACAAUUGGCUACAGAAUG